AUGCUCCCAACAAAACUUCUCAUCCUUCGUCUUUAUCAAAGAAAAAACUCACAUCUCACAAUAAAAUUGAAAGCUUCGCAGUGGUGGGUUGGAGGUGCGGAGGGUUGGUGUGCGUGGUCGACAGAGAAAGACUGGUCGCGAUUGUAUGGAGGCGUUGCUGCUUCGGAGGGUAUGUUCAGAGCUUGGUCGUUGUGUGCGGUGCGGUUGUCGUUGGAGGUUUUGCGGCUGGGGCUGCAUCGUGACCACAUGAUUUCGGAAUAG